rnacentral:snRNA from 1 species
AUACUUACCUGGUGGGAGAGAUACUAUGAUUAAGAAGGUGGUUUUCCCAGGGCAAGGCUCAUCUAUUGCUCUUGGAUAUGCUGACUCUUGCAGCUUCACCAGAAUUGAAAUACUGGACUACAUAAUUUGUGGUGGACUGGGGUUGAGUUCAUGUUCUUUGA